GCCCAGGUGGCGGAAUUGGUAGACGCACUAGGUUCAGGUCCUAGCGGUUCAGGUCCUAGCGCUUGCAAGGGCGUGGAGGUUCGAGUCCUCUCCUGGGCACCA
rnacentral:tRNA from 1 species